GAGUUUGAUCCUGGCUCAGGAUGAACGCUGGCGGCGUGCUUAACACAUGCAAGUCGAACGGGGCCACCAUUUUUGAAGCGAUUAGCUUGCUAAGAGUGGAAAUGUUGGCGGCUUAGUGGCGGACGGGUGAGUAACGCGUGGGUAACCUGCCAUAUACAGGGGGAUAACACUUAGAAAUAGGUGCUAAUACCGCAUAAGCGCACGGAGCUGCAUGGCUCAGUGUGAAAAACUCCGGUGGUAUAUGAUGGACCCGCGUCUAAUUAGCUUGUUGGCGGGGUAACGGCCCACCAAGGCGACGAUCAGUAGCCGGCCUGAGAGGGUGGACGGCCACAUUGGGACUGAGACACGGCCCAAACUCCUACGGGAGGCAGCAGUGGGGAAUAUUGGACAAUGGGGGGAACCCUGAUCCAGCGACGCCGCGUGAGUGAAGAAGUAUCUCGGUAUGUAAAGCUCUAUCAGCAGGGAAGAAAGAAAUGACGGUACCUGACCAAGAAGCCCCGGCUAACUACGUGCCAGCAGCCGCGGUAAUACGUAGGGGGCAAGCGUUAUCCGGAUUUACUAGGUGUAAAGGGAGCGUAGACGGUAAUGCAAGUCUGGAGUGAAAUGCAGGGGCUCAACCCCUGAACUGCUUUGGAAACUGUAUGACUGGAGUGCA
rnacentral:rRNA from 1 species